AGAGCCUUUUAGCCCUCAUGUGUUUCGGGUUCAUUUGAGGGUGUGGGUCCCCGCAGUGGGGGCUGAGCCGCCCUGGGAUGUGGGGUAGACGAAGGGACCCAGAUCCAAGUCGGGUCUUCCCCGCUUUGGGACUCGGAGCCCCGGCGGUCUCGUAGGUAAAGGCGCUGGGGUCCCGCCGAACCCAGUGAGUGUGGCGUCCGGCUCCAGGGGUGUCCUGGAGAUACUUUCCCUCUAAAGGCAGGGGCGCUGGAGCUCCUCAUGCUGGUGGCCGAGCUCCUAUCAGGCGUCUGAAGGCGGCAGGUUCUGAGGAUCUGUCCUGAUGGCUGCUGAACCAUCUGCUCCAGAUUCAAGGGCAGCAGUCCUCAGGAGACCCCAACACUUCACAUCCCUGGUGGGAUCUGAUGCCUGGCUCAACUCCUCAUGCCUGUGGCUGAGCUCCUAUCAGGUGUCUGAAGGAGGCAGGUUCUGAGGAUCUGUGUCCUGAUGGCUGCUGAACCAUCUGCUCCAGAUUCAAAGGCAGCAGUCCUCAGGAGACCCCAACACUUCAUAUCCCUAGUAGGAUCUGACGCCUGGCUCAAGGUGUGGCCUCUGAGCCCCAGAAACAGGAGCUGACAGAGAAGAACCAAGUGUGAUGUCAAGUGUGCAGACAGGUUCCUGGAGCAAGAAUGAAGAGAUCAGGGUCCUAUCAUUGGGACACUUUAGAUGCCUAGGUAUCUCAUGGAAAGGAGGAAAGAAGAAACGUGAAGAGAACAAAUGCACAUUCACAUCUCAGCAGCGUGACCUGCCAUUUAUGCCUCCUUCCCAUGUGUAUUCUCUUGCAGAGCUUCCAAAAUGGACACACCCAUUUUCUCAGUUUACAUGCUGUAAGCAGCAUGAACAGAAUCUGGACAUAAUAUUUUCAGUCACUUUUUUUGUGUCAUGUGUUUAAAGUCUUAGAGUUUCUUAAGUGCCAGCUAGAGCACAACAAUGCCUAAAUAUAUCCUGAAUGUGAAACUUCUUCCCCUUUGUCCAGGCCUUAUUUUCUGUCUUUCAAGUACACUGUUAAUCAUCUAGGGCUGUACGUCCAGAACCUGAUCUGGGCCGUCCUGGUGAGAGAAGACAGUGAUUGCAGGGAGUUAGUUUUCCUGUGUCCAGACUAACACUCAUAUCCCUCAGUCGGUUUGGGAGUGCAUCACAUUUUGAACUUGAGCUGAUUUGUAUUACAAGUGCUGGGCAUUUGUAUGUUUUCGUUUCCUUUUGUUAUUUUUCAUUGCACAAGGAAAGUACUUCAAAGGUGUUUUAAUGCACAUGUGUUGAUUGCCCUGGGGCCCUGGGCUGAAUGAGCCUGUGACUACAUAUUUCCCCUGAACCCCGCUGUUGAAGCAUUCUCCCCUCUGGAACCGGUGGGACUGAGCACUGGGCGAUCUCAUGCAGUCCCUCCUCCCCUCCCCUGUGGCGGUCACUGCUUGGCUAACUGUGUGGUUAAACCAGUGAGCCUGCUUUCAGAUCAACGGACUAUAUUUUGGAGACCUCAGAAAGAAGCAUGUUGUGAAACUACUUUCAACUUAUCACCUUCACUAAAAUCCAAGGAAAUCAAGACACUUUCUGACUGCUGAAUUUGAGGUUUAUUUUAAAGACAUGCUUGCGCUCUCCUAGGUUUCUAUAAUUUCCCUGAAGCUGCCCAACUGGGAUGGUCGUGUGGUAGAUUCAUAAAUUAGUUCUGGGACCACCCUAUUACCUAAGUCCCUUGGUUUAGGGAUGUUCCCCAUUGUGACAUUGAACCACUUUCCUGUGGGAAGGGCUGGGAAUAUUUAUUUUUUCUGAUUACUUUUUUUUACUUUUAAAACCAAGGCACUUUCAUUGCAGAUAAAAAUGGAAAAUGCAUGGAAAGCAAAAAAAAAAAAAAUCAUUACAAACUUUUAAAAGUCGACUACUCAUGGAUAAGCACUGUUAACAGUUGAAUGUGUAUAUAAUUUUUAGAAAUUUUACUAUGCAAAUAUAACCAUGUAGGUUUGUAAACAGCUCUUCUGUCACAAACAUCACAUUAUGAAGGUCAAUCCAUGCCAAUCAAUAUAAGCCCACACAAUAAUAAAAAUGGCAGUAGAAACACUGAUGGUCCAUUCUGGUAUGAUAAUAAUGAUCAGAAUGGUUACUAUUACUGCUGACUCCCUCUGUGCCCCACACUGUUGUACGUGCUAACCCUAUACUUACUCACUUCGUCCUCAACACAACCCAUGAGAAGGAGCUGUUGUUGCCCAUCUUUAAACAUCAGGGAGCUGAGGCACAGCAGGG